GCCAUUUAUUUCACUCAAGCUAAGUAACAUAACUUUAAAAGUGUCUGUCGAGUGACCAGACCUUUAGAAGCUAAUGUUUAUCAUGUCUUUUCUCCUUGUUUUACCAUGUUUUCAACGCUGUAUAUUCCAUUAUGUUUACUUGAAUUUUAAUCUGAUGAAAAGUAAAAUAACAAAAACACCAACUUCUCGGAAAUUCAAAACAAAUAG
rnacentral:lncRNA from 1 species